rnacentral:rRNA from 1 species
GAUGAACGCUGGCGGCGUGCCUAAUACAUGCAAGUCGAGCGAACAGACGAGGCGCUUGCUCCUUUGACGUUAGCGGCGGACGGGUGAGUAACACGUGGAUAACCUACCUAUAAGACUGGGAUAACUUCGGGAAACCGGAGCUAAUACCGGAUAACAUGUUGAACCGCAUGGUUCAACAGUGAAAGACGGUUUUGAUGUCACUUAUAGAUGGAUCCGCGCCGCAUUAGCUAGUUGGUAAGGUAACGGCUUACCAAGGCAACGAUGCGUAGCCGACCUGAGAGGGUGAGCUGCCACACUGGAACUGAGACACGGUCCAGACUCCUACGGGAGGCAGCAGUAGGGAAUCUUCCGCAAUGGGCGAAAGCCUGACGGAGCAACGCCGCGUGAGGGAAGAAGGUCUUCGGAUCGUAAAACUCUGUUAUUAGGGAAGAACAAAUGUGUAAGUAACUAUGCACGUCUUGACGGUACCUAAUCAGAAAGACACGGCUAACUACGUG